AUUGAACGCUGGCGGCAGGCUUAACACAUGCAAGUCGAGCGGGGUGAUGGUGCUUGCACUAUCACUUAGCGGCGGACGGGUGAGUAAUGCUUAGGAAUCUGCCUAUUAGUGGGGGACAACAUUCCGAAAGGAAUGCUAAUACCGCAUACGCCCUACGGGGGAAAGCAGGGGAUCUUCGGACCUUGCGCUAAUAGAUGAGCCUAAGUCGGAUUAGCUAGUUGGUGGGGUAAAGGCCUACCAAGGCGACGAUCUGUAGCGGGUCUGAGAGGAUGAUCCGCCACACUGGGACUGAGACACGGCCCAGACUCCUACGGGAGGCAGCAGUGGGGAAUAUUGGACAAUGGGCGGAAGCCUGAUCCAGCCAUGCCGCGUGUGUGAAGAAGGCCUUUUGGUUGUAAAGCACUUUAAGCGAGGAGGAGGCUCUUAAGGUUAAUACCCUUGAUGAGUGGACGUUACUCGCAGAAUAAGCACCGGCUAACUCUGUGCCAGCAGCCGCAGUAA
rnacentral:rRNA from 1 species